CUACGGAGGGUGCGAGCGUUAAGCGGAAUUACUGGGCGUAAAGCGUGCGUAGGCGGUUUGCUAAGUCAGAUGUGAAAGCCCCGGGCUUAACCUGGGAACUGCAUUUGAUACUGGCAGACUAGAGUAUGAUAGAGGGGGGUAGAAUUCCUGGUGUAGCGGUGAAAUGCGUAGAUAUCAGGAGGAAUACCAGUGGCGAAGGCGGCCCCCUGGAUCAAUACUGACGCUGAGGUACGAAAGCGUGGGGAGCGAACAGGAGUAGAAACCCGGGUAGUCC
rnacentral:rRNA from 1 species